AAUAGUCCUGUAUGUUAAACGAGAAGACUUCAGAUAUGAUCCAGAGUACCACGGGACACGUGAAACCCUGUGGGAAGCAGGAGGGACCACCCUCCAAGGCUAAAUACUACCUAGUGACCGAUAGCGUAUAGUACCGUGAGGGAAAGGUGAAAAGAACCCCGGGAGGGGAGUGAAAUAGAACCUGAAACCCUGCACUUACAAGCUGUGGAAGCACAUUUCUUGUGUGACCGCGUACUUUUUGUAGAACGGGCCAACGAGUUACGUUAAGUAGCAAGGUUAAGCACUUAAGGUGCGGAGCCGUAGCGAAAGCGAGUUUUAACUGAGCGUUCAGUUACUUGACGUAGACCCGAAACCGGGCGACCUACCCAUGAGCAGGAUGAAGCGAAAGUAAAAUUUCGUGGAGGUCCGAACCCACGAGCGUUGAAAAGCUCGGGGAUGACUUGUGGGUAGCGGUGAAAUUCCAAUCGAGCCCGGAGAUAGCUGGUUCUCCCCGAAAUAGCUUUAGGGCUAGCCUCAAGGUGAGAGAUACGGAGGUAGAGCACUGAAUGUCCUAGGGGGUAUUGCACCUACCGAAGACUAUCAAACUCCGAAUGCCGUCAUCUUAUACUUGGGAGUCAGACUGUGGGUGAUAAGAUUCAUAGUCGAAAGGGCAACAGCCCAGAUCGUCAGCUAAGGUCCCUAAAUGUAAGUUAAGUGGUAAAGGAUGUGGGAUUGCACAGACAACCAGGAUGUUGGCUUAGAAGCAGCCACUCAUUCAAAGAGUGCGUAAUAGCUCACUGGUCGAGUGAUCCUGCGCCGAAGAUUUCCGGGGCUAAAACUUACUACCGAAGCUACGGCAUCAGUAAUGAUGGGUAGGGGAGCUUCCCAUACGGGUUGAAGCAUGACCGUAAGGACAUGUGGACAGUAUGGGAGUGAGAAUGUUGGCAUGAGUAGCGAGAUGUGGGUGAGAAUCCCACAGGCCGUAAACCCAAGGUUUCCAGGGGAAGGUUCGUCCGCCCUGGGUUAGUCGGGACCUAAGCUGAGGCCGAAAGGCGUAGGUGAUGGACAACAGGUUGAUAUUCCUGUACUACCGAUAACCGUUUGAGAGAAGGGAUGACACAGUAGGAUAAGCUAAGCACACUGUUGGUUAUGUGUGCCCAAGCAUUGAGGCAGUCAAAGCAGGCAAAUCCGCUUUGAUAAUGCUGGGAUGUGAUGGGGAGCGAAAUUUAGUAGCGAAGUAGCUGAUUUCACACUGUCAAGAAAAGUCUCUAUCGAGGUUAAAGGUACCCGUACCGCAAACCGACACAGGUGGGUGAGGAGAGUAUCCUAAGGCCAGCGAGAGAACUGUUGUUAAGGAACUCGGCAAAAUGACCCCGUAACUUAGGGAUAAGGGGUGCCACCAUCCGGUGGCCGCAGAGAAUAGGCCCAAGCGACUGUUUACCAAAAACAUAGGUUUCUGCUAAGUCGCAAGACGAUGUAUAGGAGCUGACGCCUGCCCGGUGCUGGAAGGUUAAGGGGAUCUGUUAGAGCAAUCGAAGCAGUGAACUUAAGCCCCAGUAAACGGCGGCCGUAACUAUAACGGUCCUAAGGUAGCGAAAUUCCUUGUCGGGUAAGUUCCGACCCGCACGAAAGGCGUAACGAUUUGGGCACUGUCUCAACA
rnacentral:rRNA from 1 species